GGGGGGGGGGGGGGGGGGGCGUGACGGGUGCGGGGCGAGCGGAGGGGCGCGGCGUGGGUGGGGUGCGCGAGUGGCGAACGGGUGAGUAACACGGGAGUAACCGGCCCUUGACUUUGGGAUAGCUUCAGGAAACUGGGGCUAAUACCGGAUAGGAGCUCCUGCGGCAUGGUGGGGGUUGGAAAGUUUCGGCGGUUGGGGAUGGACUCGCGGCUUAUCAGCUUGUUGGUGGGGUAGUGGCUUACCAAGGCUUUGACGGGUAGCCGGCCUGAGAGGGUGACCGGCCACAUUGGGACUGAGAUACGGCCCAGACUCCUACGGGAGGCAGCAGUGGGGAAUAUUGCACAAUGGGCGGAAGCCUGAUGCAGCAACGCCGCGUGCGGGAUGACGGCCUUCGGGUUGUAAACCGCUUUCGCCUGUGACGAAGCGUGAGUGACGGUAAUGGGUAAAGAAGCACCGGCUAACUACGUG
rnacentral:rRNA from 1 species